UGUGCCAGGAAACGUGCUAAUUGCCAGGUGUGACACGUUAACCUCCUCUGGAGGAAGUGCGUGAGAAGCAGUUCAGCUGCUGGCUGAAGUGAAGUCACAGCCCUAGUAUGUGUAGGUGCUGUAUUACCAUUUGCAGAAGAAAGGAACCUGAUGCAAUCUUCAAGGUGCAGCAUGGCAAAGCUUUGUGAGAUGCUUUUUUCUGUGCUUUGCUUAAAAUGGUGGAAAACAAGUACUUCUUCAAGAAACAUUGGUGAUGCUUCUUACUGGAAUUGCUGAUGGAGUUAAGGCCUGAAGACUUGCUGUUUUGCCACCUCUUGGCUGCUGAAGGCAAGAUCUUGUGAGAAUGUGACUGAUACGCUGCUGGAGUCGUCAGGUUUUUUGUCCUGAGGAUGGGAGAAACAAGAGAUGUUAAAACUAAAAUGUAUGCCAAUGAAACUUCAAGUGUAUAAAGAGAAAUCUGGAAAAAGAACCAGGAAAUGAAAAAGCCAUGGUACUUGAUUUUCAUUUUGACAUGCCUUAAUUAUCAGCUGGAUUAUUUAAAUCUGCAGCUAUAUUUAUUCCAUGUAUGUAAUCAUAAACACUGAUAUUAGGAGGAUCAGUGUAUUUUCAUUUCCUGUAUUUGGAGAUUUAAUUUAUUACCCUUCAGUAUAGCAUUAGUGGUUUUUGCAUUUAUUUUCCUUUUCUAAAUAAAUAUAAAUAAUAUAGAGAGAGAUAAUAUUUUUUAAUUUAUUUUUCAAUAACAUUGUUUUAUAAGUAGUCCUUCCAGGCUGUGAAAAUAACGUAUCUAGAACAAUAAACUGAAUGGGAUGUUGUAACAUAUAUUGAUGUUGCUAUUUGGCUGAAUCUUGAUUUUACAGAGGCAGCAAUGCUACCAGUCUGAGCCAUGAAUCUUUUCCAAGAGAACAUAAAAUACACAGAGAUUGAAAGUGAUAAAAGUUCAGAGAAUUCCUUCUUUUUUACUAUGGUGCUAGUGAGUUACUUCUUUUAAUGUAACCUGUUCCAUCCAGGUCUAACACCACAUUGGACUUAAAGAGUUUUAUUCCUGAAUUUGGAUGACACAGGAACAUCUCAUCCUGCUGAACUCCUAUUCACAGCAGGAGGAGUAAAUGGAGUUAUUCUGUGUGCCCCAUUCUAGCUGCUCAGAAUGUAGAAAAUGGUGAAAUAAAGCAGGUUUAAAAUUAUGCAAGCUAGCUGGAAAAAAAAAUGAAAUAAAAGCAUUUUUUAAAAAGUGCUGAGUAUUCUUAUCUUGCAUCUCACAAACAGCAGAUGUGACACCAACUUCUCUAGCAAGAAUCCAAGAUGCCUAUAAUGCAGUGGCUUAUUAAAAGCAACCAAUGUCCAUCCUCCCACUUCUUUUCCCCCAUCUUGUAUAGGUAAAUGAUGUUAUUUGUUCACUGGAUGCCUGCUCCUGGUACUAAGUGCCUUAGUUUAUAUUGACUAAAACACCGCCUUCACUUAAAUAAGACUUUAAAUAAGGUGAAAUAUUUGCUUAAAGGAAGUAAAAUAUUAGAAAACAUAACUUUCUUUUAUGUCCAAGGUAGUGAAUGAAAAUCAUAGCAAUGAAAUCAUGAGAAUCACCUUAUUUAAUGUGAAUGUUCAAUUUGUGAAGGUAGGAUUUUGGGUAAUUAAAACAAAGGAGCUACAGAUUUUAAGUCAUUACGUAUUAAUGUCCUGUUCCUUCAUUUUUUUUCCAGAUCAACGCAUACAAUGUUAUCUAAUGACUAUAAAUAGUCUUUUAUGGUUGAGCAGAGCAAGGAACUCACAAGAAGAUCCUCCAAGGGUAGCAGGUGCUGCUUGUGUGAGGGUUGCUGAUUGUGCAUUGCUCAGUGUUCUCAUCUGUUAUGAACAUUUGUCACCUGCUGCUAUGAUCUCCAUCUUCCAGCUUAGUUAGUACAUACUGCUAAGCCCGCCGCUUCUGGAGAUGAAAAUGUCUUCUGGAGUGUUGUUGUCUUGUUAGUACAGCAAAGAAGGUCAGUACAGAACAAGCAUGAAAUCAUUAAUUUAGUAACAAGAUGCCAUUGGAAUCUUUUUUUUGUAUGGUCUUCUAACUAUCAUUUUAAGAAAAAAGAUCACAGCACAGCACUUUAUAUUUUUAUAUAUAUAUAUAUAAAACUCAACAUACCAGUAAUUAGAAGUGUACUAAUAGAUACUUCUAACAAAAAUACUAGAAAGGUUUGCUGGAGCAGCCUAUCUAGAAAAUAAAAAAGAAAAAAAAUAGUUUCACCAAACAUGUGAACAUGACAGGUAAUUGUACUCUUACUCUGAGGUAUUGGCUUAUGCAGCUAGUAACCGAUUUCUGAACGGUCUUUUUGGACU
ensembl:lncRNA